rnacentral:miRNA from 1 species
AACAUUUACAAGCGAGCCUUAAU